rnacentral:rRNA from 1 species
UACGUAGGGGGCUAGCGUUGUCCGGAAUCAUUGGGCGUAAAGAGCGUGUAGGCGGCCCGGUAAGUCCGCUGUGAAAGUCGGGGGCUCAACCCUCGAAUGCCGGUGGAUACUGUCGGGCUAGAGUGCGGAAGAGGCGAGUGGAAUUCCUGGUGUAGCGGUGAAAUGCGUAGAGAUCCGGAAGAACACCGGUGGCGAAGGCGGCCUGCUGGGCAGUUUAGCUGACACUGAGGCGCGACAGCGUGGGGAGCAAACAGG